CAGAUAUUGAAUCCCAAUCAGUAUACUUUGGAGAUGCCUCAAAAUCAGAGGUUCAAGCAGGAUGAAGUUUGGAACUUCCCAGGGAGCCAGCUGGAAGUGCAGAAGUGAAGGAAAGCUUUUGCAGAACGGGCAGGAGCUGGGAGCAGGAGGGGCGGAAGCGGGCAUGGGGAAGUGCCGGAAGAUGAGGUCGCUGCAAUGUCACCUGAAUCGGGAGAUGAGGACGCUACAAUGUCACCUGGAUCGGGAGAUGAGGUCGCUGCAAUGUCACCUGAAUCGGGAGGUGAGGCCGCUGCAAUGCCGGCUGAAUCGGGAGAUGAGGCCGCCGCAAUGUCACCUGAAUCGGGAGAUGAGGCCGCUGCAAUGUCACCUGAAUCGGGAGAUGAGGACGCUACAAUGUCACCUGAAUCGGGAGAUGAGGCCGCUGCAAUGCCGGCUGAAUCGGGAGUGAGAAGAACACGAACUCACAGCCACCGAGGCCUGAUGGGUUCCUGCAGUGAGAGCUCAGCACACAUCCACAGAGAGAGAGGGGAGACGUGGGAAUUGGAAAACCAGAAACUUCCAGAGACACCCAAAGAUUUGAUCUGCAGCCUGGGAAGAAGCUUGGAUUGAUGUAAAAAUACAAUACACAGGCAUGAACAGAAAAAUAAUACAUAAAAUAAUGAUGUUUCUAUGGCUGUAAGUAGGGGUUAGAAAGUUAUACAUUGCCUCCUGAGAAGCUGAGAGGCCUCAAACAAAAUGUGAACAAUGGUUAUCUGCUGCUGUGGAAUGCAACAGGUGCAUCUGGGAUUGGUCUUAUAGAGUUAUUUCUAAUUAAUGGCCAAUCACAGUCAGCUGGCUUGGACUCUCUGUCUGAGCCACAAGCCUUUGUUAUCAUUCUUUCUCUUUCUAUUCUUAGCCAGCCUUCUGAUGAAAUCCUUUCCUUCUAUUCUUUUAGUGUAGUUUUAAUGUAAUAUCGAUAAUA